CCAGAACACUUCAAACCAACUCUCAGUCACCCCCGCCUCACCCUACCCCUGUCCCAUCCACAUAUCUGGGGAGGAAGAUCAGACACCACUGAAGAAAUGUUAAGAAGGGGGACAAGACUCUAAGAACUCUAGGUUGUGCUUUGGGUUGCUCCUUCUUCAGUAUUGAGAAGUUUGUAUGAAGAAGUGGAAAUAAGAAAGGAGAAGUAUCUGGAGGUUGGGCAAGAGGAUGGCUUUUGAGAAAGAAAAUACCUAGAAGAUCAUAUCAUCAAGCACCAGGAUAUUGAAGAUAACAUCGAGGCUCCAGGCCCAGAAAAGCAACAAAACCAG